rnacentral:rRNA from 1 species
UCUCUCUGAAUCUGCGAACGGCUCCGCAAACCAGUUGUAAACUAUAGCAAGCAGGCUCGGGGUCGGCUCUCACGGGCUGGCCUCGGGCGAUAUGGAUAACCCUGGUAAUUCUGAGGCUAAUACAUGAACGUAAAACCUGGCCGACUGCUCCGGUGGGAGGCUGGGGGAUGUGUGAUUGCAGGCUUGGGUAUAACCGGGAAAGGGCGCACGUCCAGACCGCGCUAUAAAGGAUAGGCUCCCUCGGGGGCCUGCCCCAGCGGCUCUUGCUGUGUGCUUCUGACCUAUCAACUAGACGGCAGCGUAAGGGACAUGCUAUGGUGACAACGGGUACAGAGGAUUAGGGUUCGAUCCUGGAGAGUGGGCCUGAGAGAUU